CGGGGGGGKCUUACAMAUGCAAGUCGAGCGGUAAGGCCUUUCGGGGUACACGAGCGGCGAACGGGUGAGUAACACGUGGGUGAUCUGCCCUGCACUCUGGGAUAAGCUUGGGAAACUGGGUCUAAUACCGGAUAUGACCACAGCAUGCAUGUGUUGUGGUGGAAAGAUUUAUCGGUGCAGGAUGGGCCCGCGGCCUAUCAGCUUGUUGGUGGGGUAAUGGCCUACCAAGGCGACGACGGGUAGCCGACCUGAGAGGGUGACCGGCCACACUGGGACUGAGACACGGCCCAGACUCCUACGGGAGGCAGCAGUGGGGAAUAUUGCACAAUGGGCGGAAGCCUGAUGCAGCGACGCCGCGUGAGGGAUGAAGGCCUUCGGGUUGUAAACCUCUUUCAGCAGGGACGAAGCGUGAGUGACGGUACCUGCAGAAGAAGCACCGGCUAACUACGUGCCAGCCGCCGCGGUAAUAC
rnacentral:rRNA from 1 species